AUAUCAGUCAUGCAUAGCAUAUCAAUAAGCGGAGGAAAAGAAACUAACAAGGAUUCCCUUAGUAACGGCGAGUGAAGCGGGAAGAGCUCAAAUUUGAAAUCUUCAAGGUUUUACCUUGACGAAUUGUAGUUUAAAGAAGUGUUUUCUGUUGAAGUUUUGGUAAAAGUUCUUUGGAAUAGGACAUCAUAGAGGGUGAGAAUCCCGUAUUUGACCAUUACUUUCAGCUUUGUGAUACACUUUCGAAGGGUCGGAUUGUUUGGGAAUGCAGUCCAAAAUGGGUGGUAAAUUUCAUCUAAAGCUAAAUAUUGGCGAGAGACCGAUAGCGAACAAGUACCGUGAGGGAAAGAUGAAAAGAACUUUGAAAAGAGAGUUAAACAGUACGUGAAAUUGUCAAAAGGGAAGCGUUUGACACCAGUGUUGUUUUCUCGAAAAUCAAUUAAAAAGAGUUGGAUUUUGUGUUGUAUUGACUUUAUCAGCUUUCUUCACUCUUUUCCAGCUUUUUCUAAUGCACUUUUCGUCUAACAAGUCAACAUCAGUUUCUUUUGUUGUAAAAAGGUCAUUGGAAGGUGGCUUUCUCUUCGGAGAAAGUGUUUAUAGCCUUUGACUCAUGCAAUCGGAGAGACUGAGGUCUGCAGCGUAGAUCCUUCGGGGUUAGAUACAUUUGUGCUAAGUUAUAGCUUUUCAUAGACAACUUGUUGACUAUGUUUAGUCUUGUAGCUUACUCGCUUAUGCUAUUUUACCUACGCUUAGGAUGUUGAACUCUAUCACACACAG
rnacentral:rRNA from 1 species